rnacentral:lncRNA from 1 species
AUGAGCACAGCAGUGGACUCAGUCAGUGUUUCCAUCACAUCCAGGCCCAGAAGACUUGGAGGAAAUGAAGAUUUUGUUCUUCCACUUAUUUCCUGUCAUAUUCUGCACUUCUUACUUCUUUCAGCUGCCCAUGAAACAAUGAAAGCUUUCUGCAAGAAAGACAAUAAAGAUCAGUUUGAUCAUCAACAUGAAGUUUGUUUUUAUUUGACAGCAUCAGCUGUUGCAUCAAGUAAGGAGUCAAAGGCAGCAAAGAGCUGUUUGUGUGUUUUUGGAGUGGAUCACUGCGGCUUUAUUCACGUGUCCUCUCUACAGAAGUUUGUCUCCUUCAAACUAAAGUGUCUCAGACACGUGCAGCACGUGAGCACAAAGAUGUUUUUGGUCACGUGGUGGGCACGAGGAGCUCUCAGUGAGUUUGGAGCUGAAACAUCUUUGACUCCCAGAGUUCAACUGUGAAAGUGAAACAAGCAAACAUGGAUAUUUAGGAGCCUCAGACGGUGUGAUGAUGAUGAUGAACCCAGGAAAGAAACAAAGAGAGAAAAGAACAGAUUGGAGAUCAGAGCUGAACACACACUUUUUUAAAAGCAUGCAGGAGCCGUGAGGACGAGCACGGAUUCAUUCAUUCAUAUCUGCACUGUAAUCUGAACUCUCUCUCCCUCUCUUUCUAAUCUCAUGUCUGAAGGUGAGAAGGACACCGUCUCCCUGACAGAAAAGCUUCUCCACCCACACAGCUGAAGAAGAAGAAGAUAUUUACAGUGUGUACAAUGGCAUCACUCUUCCACACACAGACAAUCACUUGUUGAUGCAGCGUGGUCCAGCUGGGAGUAAGGAGGUAGGAAAGCUGAGCCAGUGUUCCCGCUUUAAAGAAGGCACCUUCAGCCAAUCACUGACUCCACCCACAACUCAGCAUAGUGACAAAUACUCAGUACAGGCUAAACAGCACCACCCUCAGGCCAACACGGAGAAAAACAUUCACACUGAAACAAGACAAAUGAUGAUCAGGGCCCUGUUUCAGAAAGCCGGUUUAGAAAACCGAUAAAUGAUACUCAGCGUUGAGUAACCCCGAACUGUCCAACUCGGAAUAUUCGGGUUCAGAAAGGCUGAUAACAAUUAGUUCAAUCAACGCGGAGUUGCUUUAACCCCAAGUUAAGCGCGCGCACGAGGAUACAUAAAGCCCUGAUUAGUGGAGCACAGAUUAAGCGAGUCACCAUGGAGACGGAGGGAAAGAAGGCGCGGUCAAUGUAUUUUACAGCGCUUGAGGCCGAAAUUCUGAUGGUAGCAUAUACCGAUAACAUGCAAAUUUUUGCGGAAAAAAAGUAACACAGCCUCAGCUGCAAAAGAAAGGGAGCACGCAUGGCAAAACAUAGCCGACAGAGUCAAUGCGUGAGUGUUAAUUUAAACAUUGAUCUAGGGAUUUCCACCCAUUUAACACGUUAUUUUAUUAUAUUUCAUUUUAUUUUUUAUGUUAUACAUUUUAUUUUGUGAUGUGAUGUGAGCGCAGGUGCAACCCAACAGGUCCCAAACGUUCCUGGCAGCAAGUAAAAAUGAAAUAUAAAAAUAUAGUCCAAACAGGUAAGGUGUAAUUGCAUUAUGAGCCAUAGUGCUUGGUCUGUUUGUCCUAUGUAAAUCAAUUGCAGUUAGAGGCUACAUUAAUUUUCUUUCUGUAAGCACUUAUUGAAAUUAUCUGAGCACAUUACAAGUACAUAUUUGCUUACUCUGUAUGCUCAAAUGUGACCCGUUAUAGCCAACAGAAAAAAAGCGGAGGGCCGAAAAACAGGUGGGGGUCCUCCACCACCACCACUCACAGAGGCUGAGCAGUUGGCCCUCAGCCAAAACAGUGGGCGCCCUGUGGCUGAAGGCAUCUCUGCAGGGACAUCCUCUGAGUCAAUAACCCCGCAAGACACAAGUGCCUACAUAAGAGGUAAAUUACUAUACUCCAUUACUAUAAUGAAAUAAUUUGUUAGUUUGAAAUGCUACAGGGAUGCUACAGGGAACUAUGUACCUGUACAUUAAUGCUGUGGAAAGACUUCCUGUUCACAUAGUCUCCUUCAUUUACUGAAGGAGCAAUGAUUGGAAUGUGAGUGCCAUCUAUACAGCCAAUCACGCCUGGGAACCCUGAAAAUAAAUGUAAAAUUUAAGUAGUAGUUCAAGUAUCACCACAUCAUGAAUUAAGUUUUGUUCAUCCUUAUACCUGCAAUUUUGUGGAAUCCCUCUCUGAUAAAUCUUGUGGGUCUAUGACCGGGGAACACCACAAACGAGUACAGGAGACGUUUCAGUGCAACUGUAACAUUCCUGACUGCCCGACAGACGGUAGCCUUGGAAACGUGCUCAGCGUCACCAAUAUUAUACAGAAAGCUCCCGUUUGCAAAAAACCGAAGUGCAAUACAAAUAAUAUGUACAGAACUGAGAGAAUGUCCGCAAUGUGUCACAUGAGCAAUAUAAGGCCUGAGGAUGUUAUUCAAAUAAAUUAUAGAUUGUGCUGACAAACGGUAACGUUCACACAGAAAAUCAUCAGGAAAUGAUAAAAUGUCCAAACGCGCUCUAAUCACUCUCUCCCGGCGGAGAGCUCUGCGGAGAAUUUGGGCUUCAACAUCUACUGGCUCUUCAAGGAAGGGGCACGCCAUGUCUGACACUUCCUACAGUCAGGUUUCCGACAAAGAGGCGGAGAAGGUCAGGGUUAGUUGAAGUAAACCUGCUAGGGGGCAGGUUAGCUUCACGGAGUGUGUCGUCAUAGUAACUCACUCAGAAUUAAUCUAAACUCGCUUUGUGAAACCGAAAACCCAGAGUUUUCGUUACCUCAGGGUAUACUUACUCAGAGUUUGCACUAAACCGGCUUUCUGAAACAGGGCCCUGGGCUCCAAACAUUCAUAUCCAACACAUGUAAAGCCUUCAAACAUCAUCUGCUAAUGUUUCUGUUUAUUCUAUGAUUAUUUUAAAAUGAGCUCACAGCCACCUGUCGUCCUGCUGAGCUCCACCAAGGGGCCACUUUAAGGACCUGUCAGAUAAUCUUAUUAGUCAAUCAUUAUCUUAUCAUUUUACAAUUCUAUUUAAACUUUCAGCAACUUAGGACCCCACAUCCAGUCAUUCACCCAUUCACACACACAUUCACACACUGGUGAUGGCAAGUUACAUUGUAGCCACAGCCGCCCUGGGGCGCACUGACAGAGGCGAGGCUGCCGGAAACUGGCGCCACCGGGCCCUUUGACCACCACCAGUAGGCAACGGGUGAAGUGUCUUGCCCAAGGACACAACAACUGAGA